rnacentral:rRNA from 1 species
GCUUGUCUCAAAGAUUAAGCCAUGCAUGUCUCAGUACAAGCCAAAUUAAGGUGAAACCGCGAAAGGCUCAUUAAAUCAGUUAUGGUUCCUUAGAUCGUACCCACAAUUACUUGGAUAACUGUGGUAAUUCUAGAGCUAAUACACGCAAACAGAGCUCCGACCGGAGACGGAAGGAGUGCUUUUAUUAGAUCAAAACCAAUCGGUGGCGGGUUCGCUCGUUAUCGUACAACUUGGUGACUCUGAAUAACUUUACGCUGAUCGCACGGUCCUCGCACCGGCGACGCAUCUUUCAAAUGUCUGCCUUAUCAACUGUCGAUGGUAGGUUCUGCGCCUACCAUGGUUGUAACGGGUAACGGGGAAUCAGGGUUCGAUUCCGGAGAGGGAGCCUGAGAAACGGCUACCACAUCCAAGGAAGGCAGCAGGCGCGCAAAUUACCCACUCCCGGCACGGGGAGGUAGUGACGAAAAAUAACGAUACGGGACUCAUCCGAGGCCCCGUAAUCGGAAUGAGUACACUCUAAACCCUUUAACGAGGAUCAAUUGGAGGGCAAGUCUGGUGCCAGCA